ACGCACGCUGGCGGCGUGCUUCACCCAUGCAAGUCGAACGGAAAGGCCCUGCUUUUGUGGGGUGCUCGAGUGGCGAACGGGUGAGUAACACGUGAGUAACCUGCCCUUGACUUUGGGAUAACUUCAGGAAACUGGGGCUAAUACCGGAUAGGAGCUCCUGCUGCAUGGUGGGGGUUGGAAAGUUUCGGCGGUUGGGGAUGGACUCGCGGCUUAUCAGCUUGUUGGUGGGGUAGUGGCUUACCAAGGCUUUGACGGGUAGCCGGCCUGAGAGGGUGACCGGCCACAUUGGGACUGAGAUACGGCCCAGACUCCUACGGGAGGCAGAAGUGGGGAAUAUUGCACAAUGGGCGGAAGCCGGAUGCAGCAACGCCGCGUGCGGGAUGACGGCCUUCGGGUUGUAAACCGCUUUCGCUCAUGACGAAGCUUUGUGUGACGGUAGUGGGUAAAGAAGCACCGGCUAACUACGUG
rnacentral:rRNA from 1 species